ensembl:lncRNA novel transcript, antisense to PPP1R8
GGCACUCAGUCAAGAGUUGGGCGUAAGUUCGGGCCAAGGCCUCGAAGCGCUCCGGCGACUGGCUAAUCGCUCAAAGGGGCUGCCUAAGUGAGCGCCUUUGAGCCCCCAACCCCGGGUUUCUUCAGUUCCUGGGCCUGGGCUCCAGGCUCUCGGUUCUUCAACACGUCGCCCGGCCCGGUGCAGCAAACAGUUUUUCCUCAACCAUUCCGGGGUUUCUGAGCCGUUCGGCUCGCAGCAGAAAAGUAAAAAAAGAGCCGCCCUUCCAGCCCAGGCUAGCUCCGGCCGGGCCACUCUAGCCCUGGCCGCCCCGCCACUCACCAGGUUGGGCAGUCGAACAGCGGGAGGCUAGAGCCGGAGUUCGCGGCUGCCGCCAUCUUGCGUCUCCCCCUCCCAUUUGGCGCGCCCUAAGCACGCCGGGAAACUGGAAGACCGAGAAGGGAAAAGCGGCAUCCCAGCAGCCUACGCGUUGGGAGGAUUAUCUGACCAGUUUUUCCUUUUUUAAAUAAAUCAAUUGCUAAGUUCCUGUUCAUCCAGAAAGAGGCACUGCUCAGCAAGUUGAGGAAUCUAUGAUGAAAGUAGUUCUUUUCUUGCUUCCAUGCUACUGGUUCUGUAGAAAAUCAGCCUAUUCAAAAGAUUUUUGCCCUUGAUGAAGUCUCCAGCCCUCAAGAUUUAACUGCAAUAUAACUUAGAAGGAGUGAGAAGAUCAAAAAAGUAACUGCAAUAUAACAUUAACUUGGAUUUUAAGAUUAUCAACUCUUAGGUAGACUGGAGAAACACCUUUUCCUCUGGCCUUUAAAGCACAAUAAACUUAUCCAGCAAGGAUGGCGACUAAUCAGAUCACUUAUCAAAUGGCCUGUUAAUAUCCUCCUUUUCAGCCUUGUGAUUCCAAAGUAAGACUAGGCUGAUUGGAAAAAUUCAAAUUCUAAACUUGGUUUCAAGAAAACAGAAAUAAUCCUAUGUCCCUCUCUUCUGAAUACAGGGCAUGAUUUUUUAGAAGGAAUUAGUCCCAAAAGUUUUUGAGUCUAACAGAAAAGAAGAAGAUACUUUUACCUACAGAAAUUGUGUGGGCCUUUGAGGUUCUAUGCUCCUUUUAGGCAUAACAUGGUGUUGAAGCCAUUUGCAGUUAGCAGUGACCUGAUAGUAUCUUAUGGCAACUUUGUAUUUCAACUUCUCAGCUUGUGUGAUCCUUCUAUUGCUGACUAUAGACCCAGGAAACCUAAAAGCUACAUCUUACCUUUCUAAUUCUUUACUCCUUGGCCAUGUUCUGUUUCUAGCACAGUAGAUAUUCACACGUGGCACCUUAUGCUUACCUAGGCCCUCAUAAAGCAAAAUGCUCUUUGUUUGGGCACCAAUGAUGUCAGUAUAGACCAGCAAACUAGAGGGCAGCAAUCUAGGUCCUUAACCUUUUAAAAUAGACUGAUGUACUAGCUGCCUUUGGAUUUUGGUAUCUCAAUAAAGAGAUUAGUAUGUU